UACGUAGGGUGCGAGCGUUGUCCGGAAUUAUUGGGCGUAAAGAGCUCGUAGGCGGUGUGUCACGUCGGCCGUGAAAACCUGCAGCUUAACUGUGGGCGUGCGGUCGAUACGGGCAUCACUGGAGUUCGGCAGGGGAGACUGGAAUUCCUGGUGUAGCGGUGAAAUGCGCAGAUAUCAGGAGGAACACCGGUGGCGAAGGCGGGGUCUCUGGGCCGAUACUGACGCUGAGGAGCGAAAGCGUGGGGGAGCAAACAGG
rnacentral:rRNA from 1 species